GAUGAACGCUAGCUACAGGCUUAACACAUGCAAGUCGAGGGGCAGCAUCGUCUUAGCUUGCUAAGGCCGAUGUCGACCUGUGCACGGGUGAGUAACACGUCUCCAACGUGCCGUCUACUCUUGGACAGCCUUCUGAAAGGAAGAUUAAUACAAGAUGGCAUCAUGACUCCGUAUGUCCACAUGAUUAAAGGUAUUCCGGUAGACGAUGGGGAUGCGUUCCAUUAGAUAGUAGGCGGGGUAACGGCCCACCUAGUCUUCGAUGGAUAGGGGUUCUGAGAAGAAGGUCCCCCACAUUGGAACUGAGACACGGUCCAAACUCCUACGGGAGGCAGCAGUGAGGAAUAUUGGUCCAUGGGCGCAGGCCUGAACCAGCCAAGUAGCGUGAAGGAUGACUGCCCUAUGGGUUGUAAACUUCUUUUAUAAAGGAAUAAAGUCGGGUAUGUAUACCCGUUUGCAUGUACUUUAUGAAUAAGGAUCGGCUAACUCCGUG
rnacentral:rRNA from 1 species